rnacentral:tRNA from 1 species
GCUUAGUUGGUAAAGCGCUCGUCUAGCAUACAAAAGCCCUGGGUUCAAAUCCCAG